AAUAUUGGACAAUGGGCGCAAGCCUGAUCCAGCCAUGCCGCGUGGAUGAUGAAGGCCCUAGGGUUGUAAAGUCCUUUCGGCGGGGAAGAUAAUGACGGUACCCGCAGAAGAAGCCCCGGCUAACUUCGUGCCAGCAGCCGCGGUAAUACGAAGGGGGCUAGCGUUGCUCGGAAUCACUGGGCGUAAAGCGCACGUAGGCGGUCUUUUAAGUCAGGGGUGAAAUCCUGGAGCUCAACUCCAGAACUGCCUUUGAUACUGAGAGACUUGAGUCCGGGAGAGGUGAGUGGAACUGCGAGUGUAGAGGUGAAAUUCGUAGAUAUUGGGAAGAACACCAGUGGCGAAGGCGGCUAUCUGGACCGGUACUGACGCUGAGGUGCGAAAGCGUGGGGAGCAAAC
rnacentral:rRNA from 1 species